rnacentral:rRNA from 1 species
UACGUAGGGUGCGAGCGUUAUCCGGAAUUAUUGGGCGUAAAGAGCUCGUAGGCGGUCUGUCGCGUCGGAUGUGAAAACUCGGGGCUCAACCCCGAGCCUGCAUUCGAUACGGGCAGACUAGAGUUCGGUAGGGGAGACUGGAAUUCCUGGUGUAGCGGUGAAAUGCGCAGAUAUCAGGAAGAACACCCGUGGCGAAGGCGGCUCUCUGGGACGGUACUGACGCUGAGACGCGAAAGCGUGGGGAGCGAACAGG